rnacentral:rRNA from 1 species
GAGAGUUUGAUCCUGGCUCAGGAUGAACGCUAGCGGCAGGCUUAACACAUGCAAGUCGAGGGGCAACAUUUCUUUCGGGAAGAUGGCGACCGGCGCACGGGGGAGUAACGCGUAUGCAAUAUCUACCUUUAACAGGAGGAUAGCCCCGAGAAAUCGGGAUUAAUACUCCAUAACAUUCUUUAGUGGCAUCACUUUAGAUUUAAAGCUUCGGCGGUUAAAGAUGGGCAUGCGUGACAUUAGUUUGUUGGUGAGGUAACGGCUCACCAAGACUACGAUGUCUAGGGGUUCUGAGAGGAUGAUCCCCCACACUGGUACUGAGACACGGACCAGACUCCUACGGGAGGCAGCAGUGAGGAAUAUUGGGCAAUGGAGGCAACUCUGACCCAGCCAUGCCGCGUGCAGGAAGACGGCCCUAUGGGUUGUAAACUGCUUUUAUAUACCAAGAAACCCCAUCACGUGUGAUGGCUUGACGGUAGUAUAUGAAUAAGGACCGGCUAACUCCGUGCCAGCAGCCGCGGUAAUACGGAGGGUCCGAGCGUUAUCCGGAUUUAUUGGGUUUAAAGGGUGCGCAGGCGGUAUAAUAAGUCAGUGGUGAAAUCUCGAGGCUCAACCUCGAAACUGCCAUUGAUACUGUUAUACUCGAGUAUAGACGAAGUAGGCGGAAUGUAGCAUGUAGCGGUGAAAUGCUUAGAUAUGCUACAGAACACCGAUUGCGAAGGCAGCUUACUAGACUAUUACUGACGCUAAUGCACGAAAGCGUGGGGAGCGAACAGGAUUAGAUACCCUGGUAGUCCACGCCGUAAACUAUGAUUACUCGAUGUUGGCGAUACACAGUCAGUGUCUAAGGGAAACCGAUAAGUAAUCCACCUGGGGAGUACGAUCGCAAGGUUGAAACUCAAAGGAAUUGACGGGGGCCCGCACAAGCGGAGGAGCAUGUGGUUUAAUUCGAUGAUACGCGAGGAACCUUACCUGGGCUCAAACGUAGAGUGACCAUCUGUGAAAGCAGAUUUUCCUUCGGGACAGUCUACGAGGUGCUGCAUGGUUGUCGUCAGCUCGUGCCGUGAGGUGUCGGGUUAAGUCCCAUAACGAGCGCAACCCCUAUCUUUAGUUGCCAUCAGGUCAUGCUGGGGACUCUAAAGAAACUGCCUACGCAAGUAGUGAGGAAGGUGGGGAUGACGUCAAAUCAGCACGGCCCUUACGUCCAGGGCUACACACGUGCUACAAUGGUCGAUACAGAGGGCAGCUACCUGGUGACAGGAUGCAAAUCUCGAAAAUCGAUCUCAGUUCGGAUCGAAGUCUGCAACUCGACUUCGUGAAGUUGGAUUCGCUAGUAAUCGCAUAUCAGCCAUGAUGCGGUGAAUACGUUCCCGGGCCUUGUACACACCGCCCGUCAAGCCAUGGAAGCUGGGAGUACCUGAAGUUCGUGACCGCAAGGAGCGACCUAGGGUAAAACUAGUAACUAGGGCUAAGUCGUAACAAGGUAGCCGUAG